rnacentral:lncRNA from 1 species
CUAUGAUUUUGUGAGCCGUAACUUCUUGAGUUACCAAUCAAGUUACAGGCAAAAAAAAAAAACAACAACUAAUGAUAAGCAUAGGAUUUUACAUGGUUUAUCCAAAGUUAUGCUAUGUCCAUUGGGAAGAAAGUGAUCCAUAAUAAACAAUCAGAAUCUUGUUCCAAGAACUACUAGACUUUAGAAAAGGUGCACAAGGAUACCCUAAGAAAAAAAUUGGCAAAG